GAGCUGUGCAAAUAUGUCAUCCAGGAGAACAUCACUAAGUACUUCCAGAUAUUGUGUGAAUACAUCACAUAUUGCAUAAAGUGCAUGGUUGCAAGUAGUCGUCAUCCAUUCAGCUUUCUCAGUCUGCUGUUCUGGCAGUUUCAUGUUGUCAAAUAUCCUGAAGACAAUACGAAAUAAAUCUUGCCACCAGUGUUUUUCAUACGUAUGGCCAUAUGUCUUCAUUAUCUCAAACAUUACUGUUAAGCCCCUGGUUCUUACAUCUAAUUUGCAUCUAUUGAUGAUACAGGAUAACUCAAACAGAAUUGGGAACCAUCCUCUCACCCACACUCUGUCUUCAGGAGCUACAUUCAUAUCAUCACUCGUAUAUUCCUUGAAGGCCUGAGGUCUAUCAGAUACGUAUUUUGCACAGUGGCGAAUGAGGCGGAUGGCUUCCAUACUGGUAUCUGGAAAUGCUGCAUUGCAGGCAAAUUCAGACAAGCACUUUACUGCAUCCUGGAAAGAAUCUAUGGUUGCUGGGAAGUGUUUUUCAAAC
rnacentral:lncRNA from 1 species